UACGAAGGGGGGCUAGCGUUGCUCGGAAUGACUGGGCGUAAAGGGCGCGUAGGCGGCUCAUACAGUCAGAUGUGAAAUUCCUGGGCUUAACCUGGGGGGCUGCAUUCGAUACGUGGUUGCUGGAGUGGGGAAGAGGGUCGUGGAAUUCCCAGUGUAGAGGUGAAAUUCGUGGAUAUUGGGAAGAACACCGGUGGCGAAGGCGGCGACCUGGUCCUUGACUGACGCUGAGGCGCGAAAGCGUGGGGAGCAAACAGG
rnacentral:rRNA from 1 species